rnacentral:misc_RNA from 1 species
UGCCAAAAGGUGAAAACAAAUCAGGUCAGUUUUUCUCUCUCAACUUUUUUUUUUCUUUUUUAAAAUUUCUUGCCUGGUGAUGCCUUGCCUAAGCGCCUAGUUGAAGGCGCCUUGCCUGGAGGCUUCCUAGGCGAAGUGCCUAGAUUUCCCUUGUCUAAUUGCCUAGGUGAUCGCCUGGGCGCCUCUUGACAACCAUGCGUAUUGCUAAAAGUGUUGACUUUGUUCGUGUCUAAAUUCAUGAAAUAAAAUCAUGCUCUAUGAAACUAACUACAAACUUCAUUAGAGGUUGAUCAAUAAGUGUAAGCCUAAUAAGGACAUCUUUAAAUUAAAUAUUAGAUUUGCUUAUGGUGAAAUUUUAGUUCCUUGCAUUAGGCAUGAACUAAGAUGAUGAACCUCCUUGGAUAAUAGUUUUAGAGGUUGCAAGGGAAGUUUACAAAUUACUAGCACUAUUCGUGAGUGAAUUAUAUGGAGAGUCUUGCGAGAUUCAAGUUAGUUUUCAAUCUUCUUUAAGUGUCAUUGAAAGUUUGCCUUAGGUGCAAGGCAAGAUAUUAACCCAUUUCCAAAAAGGGCAACACCAUACUUGGCGUAAUUUCAUAGUUUUGUGUAGCCUUACCAGGGUUUUUAGUUGCAAAAUAGUUUAGGCUAUUUUAGGGCAUUUGCCAUAAAAAGGCAUGCGCCUUGCAUAUGAUUUUGGUUGUGAAAGGUUGCACUUGGAUGGAGAUAAACAAUGGCUAGGUCAAGCCAAAAUUAGGAUCAUGCUCUUGUUUUAGUGUAAUUUUUUUUAACUUUUAAUUCUCUUUUCAUUUAGUCUGCCUUCCCUCUUUGUCUAUAUCUGUUUCCUUUGUCGGCCAGUAUUCUAAUCGGCAAAGUUUGUACAUGCUAUACCAUAUUCCAACGCGAAAUGUUGGCUGUUCUUUGCAUUUUAUUGCUCCAUCUCCUUGUUGUAUAUAUUGUGAAAUUAAUGAGAGAAUUUUAUACGAAACUUGUUACUUUGUUAGAAUUGUCUCAAGAUGGUAAAUACAAAUACUGUGCUGACUAGUGCUUUUACCUGCUGUUGCAAGACCAAAUUUCCUAUUUGGCACAUAUAUAGCAUUAUCGCAAAAGCUAUACAAGAACUAAUCCUUGUUACAUUUUAUCUAAAUGUUUAUGCUAUUUAUUUUCAAUAAUAUCUUUGCUUGAUUACAUUUCUGUGCCAAUUUUCCCAGUUCUUUUAUUUCCCUGAUUAAAUCUAUACACUGCUGACUUAUAGCGCAACUGGCUGCUUUUAAUUAUUCCUUAUUAUUUAUGUUUGAAUUAACAAUUGAGAAUUUGUUUCACACUAUGACUGUACUUCACAUAAAGUUAGUGAGUUAAUGACUAUGUGUGUGUGUGUGUGUGUGU